CUUUCAUCCACUGCUGCCUCGCACGUGUCAUACUUUAUUAUUGAACCAUUGUUUCAUUUUUCAAGGAGAUAAGUCCUAAGACCGCCGAUUCGUAUCACCUCUAUGCUAGUGUACUGCAAGGUGAGGCAAUAUUGGAUUCAUAAGUGAGCUCAUCAAGAGCUGUGUCCCAUCAAACUUUUAUUCUUGAAUCCGACGUUAAAUUGUAGUAAAGAGCUAGCAAGAUAAUCCACUUUCAUUGCCGGAUCUUUCUACGCAAGGAAUUGGAAAAGGCGAUCUGGAGAUUAUGACGGAUUCCUUUGCAUUCAACAGGCACACUUCCUUCCCAUCGAUGGAGAGUUCGGCAGGGGAUCUCGCGAGAGGAGAUAUCUGAGGAACGUACAGUCAGUGAAUUUAUCAGGCGUGAUGGAGAAAUUACACACCUCCAGUUUGACCUCGCCACGACCGGGAAGAAUUACUGUACGAAAACUCAAGGAUCGUGGGGCUACAGGAGUGAGAAGAAAAGCAUCCGUUUCCGGGUGAGAUAUAGGGCCUCCCGCAGAUAAAGAGUACGCAGUCGAUCCAGUCGGAGUAGAAAGCAGGAUGCCGUCAGCCUAUGUUGAGGUCAGAUGUUGUCCGUCAAAAUAGGUAUCCACCACAGUAAGAUGCGUAUUGCGGCCUCGAUGCAGAGCAACUUCGUUCAUAACCUGCCAUCCUGCUUCACCUACUAUGGCGACAUUAGCUUGCUGUUGACGAGCUGAGGUCGUUUGUCCAGCACCCACCACUCUCAGUACAUCGGUUUAAUGGGUCUCCAUCGACGGCAAUAGGUUUGCAUGCUAGCCGCAUUCUGUUUAACACUGAUACGGGGCCCUUGAGAGUGUUCUCCAGAGCCGAUGACAAAGCACUGAUAUCUAGCCGACCCGUCAGUACGUGCUCUCGCGACCAGUAAGUGAGAAACAUACGAAAUGGAAGCAGGAAACCCAGAGAUCCCAUAGAGAAGCUUAGCACUGGAGGGCAUUCACCUUGAGAGAAAAGGUUAGAAACGUGCAAUAUCGUGCCGUCACCGCCUAAAGUUAGGACUAGAGAUGUAUGAAGAGGCAAUAAUGCCUGAUCGCCCGGC
rnacentral:sRNA from 1 species